GGGCCGCCUCUGAAGGGAUUCACUGAGUCGAGCAGCUUUCUUCUUCUCUUCUGUUCAGGGAGGAUGGACGGAGAAUGUCUAAAUGAAUGUUUUUGCUACAGCUGCAGAGGAGAUUGUGAAUAGUGGAUUCUACUACUCCCGCUGGCCAGACUCUCUCUCCUGUAGCUGUAUGUUGAGGAUCUCAAAAGGACUCUACAAUGUGAAAUUCACCUGCGGUGAUGAGUCGGUCAGUGAUCUCACUCUUGCUUCUAUCUUUGGAGUCCCUUCCCUAUUGUCCAUUCCCUGACACAUGUCUUGGAUGUUAGCAGUGGUUUAGUGACCCUAGUUUUUCAGAGUAGAAGAAAGUCGACCUAACUUUCCUAAUGACAACGUUUUUUUCUUUCUUUCUGUUUCCAUUUCCCGAGGCAAAAGAAAUGUGGGACACCAACAUCUCCAGAGAGAGAAGGAGAGGAGAAGGAGAAGAGUAGCAGGGAACCGCAGAGUGACAUCAGGAGAUGGAGCUGUGUCGGGCAGAGUGAGCAGAGACGUUCCACAGGCAACUUCUCUCCCUUAUGAGCCAGCAGGUUUUGGCCAGGAAGCUGGGACAUCCUGCACCACAGCUGUGUGCGUAAAAUAUGCUGUUUGAUCAUUUGAUCAUUUUUUUUAAGAACUCAAUAUUGUUCUGACCAAGAGUUUAAUUUAGCCGAAUUGAAAGUUCCUUUUUUAAAUUUAUAAAACGGUCACAGACAAACUGUGCUCAAAAACGGCAUCCAACCCCAAGGCUUCCCCUUUGCUUUUCGCAAGAACUAAGCAAGUUAUUUAUAAACUGCAUUUCCUGUUCACAGCUAGAGAACCAUUUAAAUAUUAGGGACAGCGAGGGACAGAACUCACUCUCGAUUAGCGAUGGUUUCAAAUCAGCCGCACUGUGUGAGUAAAUGACAAAGAGCAUUAUUAGAAGAGGGCCUCUGCAAAGGCACCACUUCUGCAGGGAAUUCUGGAAACAGCCUUUAAUUUCACCCACAUAUGGCAUAUGUGCUCAGUUCCCUUUUCUAACCCCAUGACAGAUACAAUAUUCUGGCUGCCCAGUUGUGUUUUUAUGUGUGUAAACACUAUUUGGGCUGUUUAUUAUAGUUGACCUUUUACCUAGACUUAGAAUUUUUCUAUGUUUCAUAUAAAGUUAUCACAUGAGGGAGAGUAUUCUGAGGGAUUCUUUUAAAAAUUCUGUUUAGUUAUUGCCAAGAAACAAGAAACAACAAAGAGAUCAUAUUAUAACGCAACAAGUGUAUUGAAAUGAACAAAACUAUGCCUCCCUGGCAAUAGCCUCAUGUGAAGUUGGAGCUACACACUCUCAAGGGCCCCUCCCUGACUCAGCUCUUAGGGCGAUUCAACAUUUCCUGUUUACAAGCCGAUGGGGAACACACAUUACAAACCCCUUAUCGCACUACGAGCACUGAGAGCACUGCUGCUGCCCGACACCAGACUGCUCCCUAAGGAGAGCCCCGUCAGCUGAGGAAAUGUGAUUCUCUUCGUCCAGCCUGGUCAACCAUGCUCAAGCCUGGUGAGCCCACAUAGAGCCAAACGCCUGAUGUUUUGACCUCUUCAUUGACCUUCAGUCAGGGGGAGUUACGAAAGAAAAUGUGACCAGCUUUCAAAUUUUUGUUCAGUAUUUGAUGUGAGUCCAUAGACUGUAAGAUGGACGCGCAGCAGCGAUAUGGGGAUGAAUCCAUUGUAUCAUGUUCCAAUAAUAAGAACUUCAUAAUUUUUAAAGAUAAUUUUUUGUUUGGUCCAUGAACCGUCUAUGAACAUGGAGGAGGCAGGAUUUAUGACUUAUUCUGCAGAAUGAAGUUCCCUAAUUAUCAUGUUGAACCUUUAUCCCACAAUAAAAUGCUGUGUGGAUGUCUGUUGAUUAAAGAAGUUAAGCACA